rnacentral:rRNA from 1 species
AACGAACGCUGGCGGCAUGCCUAACACAUGCAAGUCGAACGAGACCUUCGGGUCUAGUGGCGCACGGGUGCGUAACGCGUGGGAACCUGCCCUUAGGUUCGGAAUAACUCCCCGAAAGGGGUGCUAAUACCGGAUAAUGUCUUCGGACCAAAGAUUUAUCGCCUUUGGAUGGGCCCGCGUUGGAUUAGCUAGUUGGUAGGGUAAAAGCCUACCACGGCGACGAUCCAUAGCUGGUCUGAGAGGAUGGUCAGCCACACUGGGACUGAGACACGGCCCAGACUCCUACGGGAGGCAGCAGUGGGGAAUAUUGGACAAUGGGCGAAAGCCUGAUCCAGCAAUGCCGCGUGAGUGAUGAAGGCCUUAGGGUUGUAAAGCUCUUUUACCCGGGAUGAUAAUGACAUUACCGGGAGAAUAAGCUCCGGCUAACUCCGUG